rnacentral:tRNA from 1 species
GGAGAGGUCGCCUAGUUCGGCUUAUGGCGCUCGCCUGGAAAGCGGGUAUGUGGAAACGCAUCGAGGGUUCGAAUCCCUCUCUCUCCGCCA